AGGUGGUGCAUGGUUGUCGUCAGCUCGUGUCGUGAGAUGUUGGGUUAAGUCCCGCAACGAGCGCAACCCUCGUUCUAUGUUGCCAGCACGUAAUGGUGGGAACUCAUGGGAUACUGCCGGGGUCAACUCGGAGGAAGGUGGGGAUGACGUCAAAUCAUCAUGCCCCUUAUGUCUUGGGCUUCACGCAUGCUACAAUGGCCGGUACAAAGGGCUGCAAUACCGCGAGGUGGAGCGAAUCCCAAAAAGCCGGUCCCAGUUCGGAUUGAGGUCUGCAACUCGACCUCAUGAAGUCGGAGUCGCUAGUAAUCGCAGAUCAGCAACGCUGCGGUGAAUACGUUCCCGGGUCUUGUACACACCGCCCGUCAAGUCAUGAAAGUCGGUAACACCUGAAGCCGGUGGCCUAACCCUUGUGGAGGGAGCCGUCGAAGGUGGGAUCGGUAAUUAGGACUAAGUCGUAACAAGGUAGCCGUACCGGAAGGUGCGGCUGGAUCACCUCCUUU
rnacentral:rRNA from 1 species